GACGAACGCUGGCGGCGUGCCUAAUACAUGCAAGUCGAGCGAAGUUUUUCUGGUGCUUGCACUAGAAAAACUUAGCGGCGAACGGGUGAGUAACACGUAAAGAACCUGCCUUAUAGACUGGGACAACUAUUGGAAACGAUAGCUAAUACCGGAUAACAGCAUUAACUGCAUGGUUGAUGUUUGAAAGUUGGUUUUGCUAACACUAUGAGAUGGCUUUGCGGUGCAUUAGCUAGUUGGUGGGGUAAAGGCCUACCAAGGCGACGAUGCAUAGCCGACCUGAGAGGGUGAUCGGCCACACUGGGACUGAGACACGGCCCAGACUCCUACGGGAGGCAGCAGUAGGGAAUCUUCCGCAAUGGGCGAAAGCCUGACGGAGCAACGCCGCGUGAGUGAAGAAGGAUUUCGGUUCGUAAAGCUCUGUUGUUAGGG
rnacentral:rRNA from 1 species